AGGAACGGGACUUCCAACUCCAUCUGGAGGACCAAAAGAGGGAGGCAGUUCAAACUGGCAGCCUUCGUCCUGGAUGUAGAUGCAGGGCUGCUUGGGGAGGCCAGCAGGAGGCUCUUCUUAUCAACAUUGAACUAUAAUGCAAAGACGCUGCAGUAAUUCUCACUUCCACCUAUGGUUUUUACAGUGAGCAGUACAGACAUCUGCUUGCAAGAAAAGACAGGAAACCCAGAAACCCUUUCAAAUGAAAAUGUAAAAAGCUGAUAGACAUUGAAGUUAUUCCAAGAGGAAGCUGCUUUUCAAAGAAGACUCUAGAUCCGUGCUGAAGAAAGAUGUGCUGUAGAAUUUGGACAUCAGCAAGGUAUCUCUUUCUGUGGCAUUGGUGAGGGAUGCAGGGAAAGAAGAAGGAAGGAGGUGAGUGUGUGCCAGGGCCCUGGCAUUUUUGUCUUAUUACUUGUUACAAAGCAGCUCCUUCCUCUGUAUAAUCACAUGUGGCAGAGUUGCUAGUUGUUCCCCAGUAUCCAUGUUGCCCUUCUUUAUGGUGUUAACACUCUUAACCCCCGGGAAAGGAGACAUGCUGUCAGCUCCCUUGCAGACAGAGGUGGCCAUGUGACUUAGCUCUAGCCAACCACAAGUGUCAUGUGGCAGCAUCCAGGAACCUAAUUAAGCAACAGCGUGUGUGUGCCUUUGUCAAUUCUCAUCCUAUGGCUGGAACACAGCACUCAGUGUUGCAAAGCCACACAGCAGGAACAGCCUGGCUCCCUGUCCCAGGAGCACCGAGCAGCCCUAGGUCAUCUACCUGUACUUUUACAUGAGGCAUAAAGGAACUUGCCCAAGCUGUUCCUUUGGGUUUUAUCUCACUUGUAGCUAAAUGCAAUGCUAAACCAGACAACAGAUGAGGGUAGGUUAUCAGGUUAGCCCUCAAAAGCCUAUUGAUCAGACUGCCUGUGGAUUUAUAUUUCCGGGCCAGCCUGGGUAAAUAGUCAACACACAUAUCACUUCACCUCUAGUUCAAUGCAUUCAGAAUACCAAACUGUUGCCUAAACUAUGUUGUAAAAAUAAAACCUAUUGCUAAGUAGAGAGGGUGUUGCACACAAACCUAUGUAUGCACACACAUAUGUGUGUUAUAAUACAAAUACAUACCCACUUUUCAUUGAGAUAGCAGCUGUGGAGGUGGAAAUCCUUCUUUCCACCAUGCUACAUCUGGGUCAACUCCAAGAGCCGAUUGCCUUUCACUUUGUGGAAGAGUAGAAAAUGACUCAUUGUAUCUAAAAUGGGCUUAAGUGCCCUAUUUAUUUACCUAUCUGCAUUCAAUUAGAAAAGUGCCGUUCCUUUCUGUUUAUUUAUAGACGUCAUUUUGGUUAUGCUGGUGCUUUACUGCAUGUUGUUCACUUCUCCCGAACAGAGAGGCAUGUUUACCAAGUCCUUACCCAUAAUUAGUGUCACUCCGUGGAACAAGGCACCUCUGUUCUAUACGUGCCACAGCUGUCAUGAUCUCCUCACCACGAACUGCCCUGAUGGACGACUUGAGUCACUCAUUUCAUCAGAAAGCAGCAUAAAAAGUGUUAUUGCAGUGGGCCUGGCGCUCAGGGAAGCCAUAUCAGGUGUUACGCCUUGUGGCAGCCCCGAGCUCAGAGACAGCCUCGUCUUAUUACAUUUCCAGUUAAUUAUUCUUGUACUUUUCAAUAGCUCUGUGUCAUAAAAAUGCAGCAGGUAGUCGAUUCAGAUUAGCUUUAUCCUAUCAGGUGAUGGCAGACCUCAGAUGACACGUUAAUCAGCUGCUGUUGGCUUGGGUAUGCUAUACAUGUGAAUAUCA